UGGGGAAUUUUGGACAAUGGGCGAAAGCCUGAUCCAGCAAUGCCGCGUGUGUGAAGAAGGCCUUCGGGUUGUAAAGCACUUUUGUCCGGAAAGAAAUCCUUGGCUCUAAUACAGUCGGGGGAUGACGGUACCGGAAGAAUAAGCACCGGCUAACUACGUGCCAGCAGCCGCGGUAAUACGUAGGGUGCAAGCGUUAAUCGGAAUUACUGGGCGUAAAGCGUGCGCAGGCGGUUUGCUAAGACCGAUGUGAAAUCCCCGGGCUCAACCUGGGAACUGCAUUGGUGACUGGCAGGCUAGAGUAUGGCAGAGGGGGGUAGAAUUCCACGUGUAGCAGUGAAAUGCGUAGAGAUGUGGAGGAAUACCGAUGGCGAAGGCAGCCCCCUGGGCCAAUACUGACGCUCAUGCACGAAAGCGUGGGGAGCAAACAGGAUUAGAUACCCUGGUAGUCCAGCGCCCUAAACGAUGUCAACUAGUUGUUGGGGAUUCAUUUCCUUAGUAACGUAGCUAACGCGUGAAGUUGACCGCCUGGGGAGUACGGUCGCAAGAUUAAAACUCAAAUGAA
rnacentral:rRNA from 1 species